GGGUCUGUAGCCGGCCAAGUAAGUCCCUUGGGAAAUCUGGCAGCUUAACUGUCAGGCUGCUAGGGGAUACUGCUAGGCUUGGGACCGGGAGAGGUGAGAGGUACCUUGGGGGUAGGGGUGAAAUCUUGUGAUCCUCGGGGGACCACCAGUGGCGAAGGCGUCUCACCAGAACGGGUCCGACGGUAAGGGACGAAAGCUAGGGGCACGAACCGGAUUAGAUACCCGGGUAGUCCUAGCCGUAAACGAUGCUCGCUAGGUGUCAGUCACGGUGCGACCGUGAUUGGUGCCGUAGGGAAGCCGUGAAGCGAGCCACCUGGGAAGUAUGGCCGCAAGGCUGAAACUUAAAGGAAUUGGCGGGGGAGCACUACAACGGGUGGAGCCUGCGGUUUAAUUGGAUUCAACGCCGGAAAUCUCACCGGGGGCGACAGCGAUAUGAAGGUCAGGCUGAAGACCUUACCCGAUUAGCUGAGAGGUGG
rnacentral:rRNA from 1 species